rnacentral:rRNA from 1 species
UACGGGGGGGGCAAGCGUUGUUCGGAAUUACUGGGCGUAAAGGGCUCGUAGGCGGCCAAUUAAGUCAGACGUGAAAUCCCUCGGCUUAACCGGGGAACUGCGUCUGAUACUGGAUGGCUUGAGUUUGGGAGAGGGACGCGGAAUUCCAGGUGUAGCGGUGAGAUGCGUAGAUAUCUGGAGGAACACCGGUGGCGAAGGCGGCGUCCUGGACCGACACUGACGCUGAUGAGCGAAAGCCAGGGGAGCAAACGGG